UGGUGUUACUGCGAAGGGGGGACGGAGAAGGCUAUGUUGGCCGGGCGACGGUUGUCCCGGUUUAAGCGUGUAGGUGUGUGUUCCAGGUAAAUCCGGUUCACUUUAACACUGAGGCGUGAUGACGAGGCACUACGGUGCUGAAGCAACAAAUGCCCUGCUUCCAGGAAAAGCCUCUAAGCAUCAGGUAACAUCAAAUCGUACCCCAAACCGACACAGGUGGUCAGGUAGAGAAUACCAAGGCGCUUGA
rnacentral:rRNA from 1 species